rnacentral:rRNA from 1 species
UACGGAGGGGGCUAGCGUUGUUCGGAAUUACUGGGCGUAAAGCGCACGUAGGCGGCUUUGCAAGUUAGAGGUGAAAGCCCGGGGCUCAACCCCGGAAUUGCCUUUAAAACUGCAUCGCUAGAAUUGUGGAGAGGUAAGUGGAAUUCCGAGUGUAGAGGUGAAAUUCGUAGAUAUUCGGAAGAACACCGGUGGCGAAAGCGUUCUGCUAGACCUGUACUGACACUGAGGGACGAAAGCUAGGGGAGCGAAUGGG